rnacentral:rRNA from 1 species
AUUGAACGCUGGCGGCAGGCCUAACACAUGCAAGUCGAGCGGAUGAAGGGAGCUUGCUCCUGGAUUCAGCGGCGGACGGGUGAGUAAUGCCUAGGAAUCUGCCUGGUAGUGGGGGAUAACGUCCGGAAACGGGCGCUAAUACCGCAUACGUCCUGAGGGAGAAAGUGGGGGAUCUUCGGACCUCACGCUAUCAGAUGAGCCUAGGUCGGAUUAGCUAGUUGGUGGGGUAAAGGCCUACCAAGGCGACGAUCCGUAACUGGUCUGCGAGGAUGAUCAGUCACACUGGAACUGAGACACGGUCCAGACUCCUACGGGAGGCAGCAGUGGGGAAUAUUGGACAAUGGGCGAAAGCCUGAUCCAGCCAUGCCGCGUGUGUGAAGAAGGUCUUCGGAUUGUAAAGCACUUUAAGUUGGGAGGAAGGGCAGUAAGUUAAUACCUUGCUGUUUUGACGUUACCAACAGAAUAAGCACCGGCUAACUUCGUG